AUCCAGUUGACGAGUCCCAAAUAGGACGAAACGAGCGUUAAACUGGAU
rfam:Schistosoma rodhaini strain Burundi genome assembly, scaffold: SROB_scaffold0000242